ACCGGAAGUCGGCAUUUGGGAGUCCGCCUCAAGUAAACAAAAGCUUUAAAUUUUGGCCUUAGGAGACAGAAAAUAACAAAACGACUUUGCACAUUUCUGCAAAAAAGUAUUUUCUUUGAUUUAAGACAUUAAUGAUUUAAAUUGGAACACAGACAAAAAAUGUGCAAACGAUUUAUUCCAAGCACAUCCAACGACAAGGACUUGUAUGUUGGUCAGACCAAUGUCAACCUAUAAAUUACACCCUGUAAGACUUAAUAGCAGUUGAUAAGUAUCGGAC
rnacentral:lncRNA from 1 species